rnacentral:rRNA from 1 species
UACGUAGGUGGCAAGCGUUGUCCGGAUUUACUGGGCGUAAAGGAUGUGUAGGUGGAAACUUAAGUGGGAUGUGAAAUCCCCGGGCUCAACCCGGGAACUGCAUUCCAAACUGGGUUACUUGAGUGCAGGAGAGGAAAGCGGAAUUCCUAGUGUAGCGGUGAAAUGCGUAGAUAUUAGGAGGAACACCAGUGGCGAAGGCGGCUUUCUGGACUGUAACUGACACUGAGGCAUGAAAGCGUGGGGAGCAAACAGGAUUAGAUACCCUGGUAGUCCCUGA